AGUGAACGCUGGCGGUAGGCCUAACACAUGCAAGUCGAACGGCAGCACAGUAAGAGCUUGCUCUUACGGGUGGCGAGUGGCGGACGGGUGAGGAAUACAUCGGAAUCUACUUUUUCGUGGGGGAUAACGUAGGGAAACUUACGCUAAUACCGCAUACGACCUACGGGUGAAAGCAGGGGAUCUUCGGACCUUGCGCGAUUGAAUGAGCCGAUGUCGGACUAGCUAGUUGGCGGGGUAAAGGCCCACCAAGGCGACGAUCCGUAGCUGGUCUGAGAGGAUGGUCGGCGACACUGGAACUGAGACACGGUCCAGACUCCUACGGGAGGCAGCAGUGGGGAAUAUUGGACAAUGGGCGCAAGCCUGAUCCAGCCAUACCGCGUGGGUGAAGAAGGCCUUCGGGUUGUAAAGCCCUUUUGUUGGGAAAGAAAAGCAGCAGGUUAAUACCCCGCUGUUCUGACGGUACCCAAAGAAUAAGCACCGGCUAACUUCGUG
rnacentral:rRNA from 1 species